AGUGAACGCUGGCGGUAGGCCUAACACAUGCAAGUCGAACGGCAGCACAGAGGAGCUUGCUCCUUGGGUGGCGAGUGGCGGACGGGUGAGGAAUACAUCGGAAUCUACUCUGUCGUGGGGGAUAACGUAGGGAAACUUACACUAAUACCGCAUACGACCUACGGGUUAAAGCAGGGGAUCUUCGGACCUUGCGCGAUUGAAUGAGCAGAUGUCGGAUUAGCUAGUUGGCGGGGUAAAGGCCCACCAAGGCGACGAUCCGUAGCUGGUCUGAGAGGAUGAUCAGCCACACUGGAACUGAGACACGGUCCAGACUCCUACGGGAGGCAGCAGUGGGGAAUAUUGGACAAUGGGCGCAAGCCUGAUCCAGCCAUACCGCGUGGGUGAAGAAGGCCUUCGGGUUGUAAAGCCCUUUUGUUGGGAAAGAAAUCCAUCUGGUUAAUACCCGGGUGGGAUGACGGUACCCAAAGAAUAAGCACCGGCUAACUUCGUGCCAGCAGCCGCCGCUG
rnacentral:rRNA from 1 species